rnacentral:rRNA from 1 species
UCCCAAGCCUGAGGACGCCGGCCGGUGGAUGCCUCGGCUCGGGCGCCGAGGAAGGACGUGGCAAGCUGCGAAAAGCCCCGGGUAGCCGCA